UUCUGUAGCUUCUCUCGUCUGUUUUUCCUCUUUUUAGUUUGUUUGUUUUGUUUUAAAUUCAGUCGUGCUGCGUUCAGGGGCGUUGACCCGGUUCAGACUAAGUUUGUCUUCGUUAUCAGAUGUUUCCUCAUCGUGAAUUCAAACUCCAGUUACAGCAUCAAAGAUCGAUGCUGCAGCUGCUCGGCAUCGUGGGUAAUAACGCACACCUCCAGGGAUUUUUAUAACUAUUUCACUUUUAGUUUUAUUUUCCUCAGUUUGAAACAUUUGGUUUAAAUUUCCAGGACCCGUCUCCUCCAGGUCCAGGUCCAGGUCCAGGUCCAGGUCCAGGUCCAGGUCCAGGUCCAGGUCCAGGUCCAGGCUGAGUCUAAAGGAGUCUGGUCUGAGGAGCUGUGAUGUCAGGGAGGAGCUGUGGUUGAGCCCGUUGCUACGUAUGAGGCAUCAUUUCAUUGAUCCUAAAAGCUUCUGGACCUCAGGUGUUGAGUUCAGAUGUGAAACCAGUUGAAAGCGUCUCGUGUGAACAGCCUCUGAACUAGGGACCAUGUUUUCUGUCUUCUUCUAUCUUUGUUGACUCUCAGUCUGAAGGUCGACAGGCCGCCACCUUCCCUGCAAACUGAUUGGUUGAGGCAUCUGUGGGUGGAGCCACGCACACAGAAGAAAAGGCCUCAGGUGUCAGCACCUCAUCCCCACCACAGAAGAAGAGCGGAGCGACCCCCCAGGACCACCAAACCCUCCCGGACCACCAGAACCUCCUGGACCACCAGAACCUCCCGGACCACCAGAACCUCCUGGACCAUGUCUUCAUCUCACAGCACAUCUGGACUGAAACGUUUCUGUUUGUGGCUCCAUCGCUGCUCUCCUCCUCCUCCUCCUCCUCCUCCUCUUCCUCUCCCUGUCAGCUGUGGUGUCCCCCCACCUCCCCCAGCGUCUCGUCGGCGCCUCCUGCUGGUGGUCCUGCUGCUCUU